rnacentral:tRNA from 8 species
GCCCAGAUAGCUCAGUCGGUAGAGCAGGGGAUUGAAAAUCCCCGUGUCCUUGGUUCGAUUCCGAGUCCGGGCACCA